UGAAUACGAGAUGCUACGGCGUCGAAGCAGUCUAUGUCAUACUUCCAAGAAAAGCUCGCACUGUCAUAAACAAAUAAUGCCUGUACCAUAACCGACACAGGUGGGUAGGUAGAGUAUACUAAGGGGCGCGAGAUAACUCUCUCUAAGGAACUCGGCAAAAUGACUCCGUAACUUCGGGAGAAGGAGUGCCUUAUUUAUAAGGUUGCAAUAACAAGAUCCAAGCAACUGUUUAUCAAAAACACAGGUCUCCGCUAAGUCGUAAGACGAUGUAUGGGGGCUGACGCCUGCCCAGUGCCAGAAGGUUAAAGAAGUUGGUUAGCAUUCGCGAAGCUGAUAACUGAAGCCCUGGUGAACGGCGGCCGUAACAAUAACGGUCCUAAGGUAGCGAAAUUCCUUGUCGGGUAAGUUCCGACCCGCACGAAAGGCGUAAUGAUUUGGAUACUGUCUCGGAGAGGGGCUCGGUGAAAUAGACUUGUCUGUGAAGAUGCGGACUACCUGCACCAGGACAGAAAGACCCUAUGAAGCUUUACUGUAACUUGAGAUUGAAAUUGGACUUUACUUGCGCAGUAUAGGUGGGAGGCGUUGAUAAUAUUCUUGCGGGAUUAUUUGAGCCAUCAGUGAGAUACCACUCUUGUAAUGUUAGAUUUCUAACUUUGUAUCAUUAUCUGGUCAAAGGACAGUUUCAGGCGGGCAGUUUGACUGGGGCGGUCGCCUCCUAAACGGUAACGGAGGCGCACAAAGGUUUCCUCUGAACGGGUAGAAAUCGUAUCUAGAGUGUAAAGGCAUAAGGAAGCUUGACUGUGAGACCUACAAGUCGAGCAGGGACGAAAGUCGGUCUUAGUGAUCUGACGGUGCUGAGUGGAAAGGCCGUCACUCAACGGAUAAAAGUUACUCUAAGGAUAACAGGCUGAUCUCCCCCAAGAGUUCACAUCGACGGGGAGGUUUGGCACCUCGAUGUCGGCUCAUCGCAUCCUGGGGCGGUAGUACGUCCCAAGGGUUGGGCUGUUCGCCCAUGAAAGCGGUACGCGAGCUGGGUUCAGAACGUCGUGAGACAGUUCGGUCCAUAUCCGGUGCAGGCGUUAGAAUAUUGAGAGGAGCCUUCUUUAGUACGAGAGGACCGAGAAGGACAUACCUCUGGUGUACCAGUUAUCGUGCCAACGGUAAACGCUGGGUAGCUAUGUAUGGAGUGGAUAACCGCUGAAAGCAUCUAAGUGGGAAGCCCACCUCAAGAUAAGUA
rnacentral:rRNA from 1 species